UACGUAGGGGGCAAGCGUUGUCCGGAUUUAUUGGGCGUAAAGAGCGUGUAGGCGGCUUUACAGGUCCGUUGUGAAAACUCGAGGCUCAACCUCGAGACGCCGGUGGAAACCGUAAAGCUAGAGUCCGGAAGAGGAGAGUGGAAUUCCUGGUGUAGCGGUGAAAUGCGCAGAUAUCAGGAGGAACACCCGUGGCGAAAGCGGCUCUCUGGGACGGUACUGACGGCUGAGACGCGAAAGCGUGGGGGAGCAAAACAGG
rnacentral:rRNA from 1 species